rnacentral:rRNA from 1 species
UACGUAGGGGGCAAGCGUUGUCCGGAAUCAUUGGGCGUAAAGAGCGCGUAGGCGGUCCGGUAAGUCCGCUCUGAAAGUCCGGGGUUCAACCCCGGGAGGCGGGCGGAUACUGUCGGGCUAGAGUCCGGAAGAGGAGAAUGGAAUUCCUGGUGUAGCGGUGAAAUGCGCAGAUAUCAGGAAGAACACCCGUGGCGAAGGCGGUUCUCUGGAACGGUACUGACGCUGAGACGCGAAAGCGUGGGGAGCAAACAGG